UACAGAGGUCCCAAGCGUUGUUCGGAUUCACUGGGCGUAAAGGGUGCGUAGGCGGUCGGGCAAGUCUGAUGUGAAAUCUCACAGCUUAACUGUGAAACUGCAUUGGAUACUAUCCGGCUCGAGGAAUGGAGGGGAGACUGGAAUACUUGGUGUAGCAGUGAAAUGCGUAGAUAUCAAGUGGAACACCAGUGGCGAAGGCGAGUCUCUGGACAUUUCCUGACGCUGAGGCACGAAAGCCAGGGGAGCAAACGGG
rnacentral:rRNA from 1 species